rnacentral:tRNA from 1 species
GCAUGCUUGGUUUAGUGGUUAAUUCACGCCUGCCACGCGUGAGACCCGAGUUCGAUUCUCGGAGCAUGCA